CAAAAUUUCAGGCUUUUCUUGUUCCUAUAGUAGUAGUAGUAGUAAUAGAUUCAUGUAAGUUUUUUUUUUCGAUGCACCACAAGAUGCACAUGUUUUAGGUUAUGUGCAGUACUGUAUUGGGACAGCGGCUUUGAACCAUUGCUGGUUUUUAUAUUAGUGCAUUUUGCUUUUUACCUCG